CUUUUCGAGGUGGGAGUCUACUGAGGUGAGGUAUGGUGCUGGGUGCAGAUGCAAUGUGGCUCUGGAUAGCACCUUAUGGACAGUUGUGUCCCAAAGGAAGGAUGAGAAUAGCUACUGAAGUCCUAAAGAGCAAGCCUAACUCAAGCCAUUGGCACACCGGCAUUAGACAGAAAACUGGAAGUUGAAAUGGUGGAGUCCAACUUGUCUGGACCAGCUUAAUGGUUCUGCUCCUGGUAACGUUUUUAUCCACGGAUGGCUUGCUUGGGUAAGGACGUGAAGACAGUUCCUGUCAUACCUUUUUUAAAGGUAUGGAGAGUCGGCUUGACUACACUGUGUGGAGCAAGUUUUAAAGAAGCAAAGGUAUAGCAGUCCCAAGUUUUUUUUUUUUUUUUUUUUUUUGAGACAAGAGCCUAGCUCUUACGCAGAAUGGAGUGCACCGGCACUAUCAGCUCACUGCAACCUAUGCCUCCCGGGUUCAAGGAAUUCUCCUGCCUCAGCCUCCUAAGUAGCUGGGAUUACAGGCAUGUGACACCAUGCCUGGCUGAUUUUUGUACAGCUAUGUUGUCCAGGCUGGUCUCAAACUCUUGACCUCAAGUGAUCUGGUGACACUGACCUCCCAAAGUGCUGGGAUUACAGGUGU
rnacentral:sRNA from 1 species